UUAUCCUGUGUCAAAGUCUGUUUAAUCUUUUAUGUAAAUACAAAUAGGUACAGAUCACGUGAUUAAUUUUCCUGCAGCACUGACAGUGCAGGAUAAAACAAACGUCAGUCCUAGAAACUAAUGUUAUGCCUUGUAUUUUAAACAUGCUCUUGUUUGGUGUUUCAAUAGUGAGGGAAAGGUGGUAGGCAGUACAAAUCAAAUGAAAUAACUAGCAAUGUCAUUGGCCAUACCAUAACUCAAGCAUAUACUUUGCCAGGUCAAAAGGGGAGAGAUUCCCACCCACACCCCCUCGCUUAGACUUUUUCACAUGAUUAAAUCAAGGGAGUUUGAGAGUGGGAUCAUUUUCCCCAUUCCAAAUAAUUAUUAAGAGUUAUUAAAGCUGGUUUUCGCAUGGGUGGGUUUACCUUGUCAACUCAAUAAAGGAAGGAACUUUGAGGGGACUGACCUUUGGGGUUCUUUCGAACAUCGUUUCAUCUGUGGGAAUAGCUGGCCCUGUUGUGUACUCCUGGGGGAGAUUCUGCUUGACUGCACGCCCCCAGAAAAUGCUCCCCUGCCCUGCAGAAUUCCUGUGCUUCCCUGCGGAAAAUGGCAGGGAAGCAAAGGGGGAUGACUAUGGGUGCAGUUUUUUGGGGGGAUUGCCCCCAUCCAAACAGAGGUUAGGCGUGGGGGGGGGUACACUGGGUUACGUGCCACUGCCGCACAUCCCUGCCCUCCAAUUUCUGCAGGCAGAGAGCUGCCCAACUGAAGAAGGCUGCCUUGUGUCGGCUUGCUUGCUAAUGCUCCUCCUAUGUCCUUGUGCCCGUUGGGCUCCCCUUCUAUGUGCUGAGAACCUUCGAGUUUUUUGUGCAACAGUGAGUGCCAGCUUAUGUGAUAGUGGCUCACCCAAGAGGAAGAGAAGCUAACUACAUAGUUUUGCUGGAACGACUCGUUGAAAUUGAACACGAGCUUUGUGUGCGCACACCUUUGUGUGAGUAACCGUCGCCCCUCCAUCAUCUUCCAGAGUUCAAGAUCAUGCCUAGAGUACAGGUUAGGAUCAGCAAUCCAGUCCUGUGCUCACGUCACUAGAUCGUGCUGCUCUCAAUCUGUUGUUGCAGUCAGCUUCCAAAAGAGGUGUGAAGUUGUCCUUGCUGGGCCAUGAUACUGUGAUCUUCACAGGCUGUGGAUGUCAUGGGGCUCAAAUGGGAGAGGGAGUUGGAGAAGUAUAAGAACCUGGAGGGAAGGCCUUGUGCCAUUGAAGUCAAUGGGAGUUCUGCCAUUGUCUUCAAAGGGACCAGGAUGUCACCCCUGUUUUUCAGAGGUGUGUCUGCACCUCCCAUUAGUUUUAAUGAGAGUUGGGAGUGGUCAGCAUCUCUGAAGAACCAGGUUUUAAGCUUAAAAUCCAGUAACUUCAGAACUGUGUAUUGCUGAAAGCACCAAAAUAACGAAGAUAAAAGUUUAAGAGUAUAUUUUCAAAUCGUCUUCAACUGUGCUGGUAUUUCUAUACCCUAAACUCCUCUCCCCCUCUCCACAAGGAUAGAUUUUCUGACAGUUUGAUUUCCUCCCCUCCCCCCAAAUUAGGAGUGCUAAACUAGGUUGAGUUUUGACUCAGUAUAGAACAAAAUGUUUGAAAAGUCAGGUAUACCUAACAGAAGGCUAACAAGGAUUUGUGAGUCCAUAAGUAACGAUGAGCACCAGAAAAAACACACUGAGCAUUCCAGGUAAGGAUGGGAGUUUAUGUUGCACUGGUUGUGGGACUUUUUGUUGUUUCCUGCCUGUUUCUCAGUAGCAUGUGUAGCAGUGGUUCUAAAAUGACUGGCAUUUAUCUGAUCCAGAAGUGACACACAUUACUUCAUUGUCAUGGGGUCAGUGACAAUUCGUCUCCAAAGCCCAGCCAGACAGUGCCCCUGGGUACAAUGGUCUGGUGGCAGACUUUACGUUGAUGGGCUGUGUUCUGCCAGGGAGGCAACCUCAUGAACACCUUAGCAGCAUGUUACAGCUUCACAGCCUUGAACAGAGCACAAAAGGCCUUUUCCUUUAUUGGAUAGAGGAAUGCUCAUACAGUACCAGCAUGUGCGUUAAAAGAUCGUCACAUGUUUCUUGAAGCAGGACAAGGCUAAUGACUUGCAGUUGUUUCCACCUUGAUUUUUAGUGGCAUUUCACAAAGUACAUUCCAGAGAUGAUGUAACAUAUGACCCUAAUAUAAUUAAGCAUAGCAAGAGUCAUAUGUAUCAGUUGUCCAGCAGUUAUAGUACAGUAAUGAUGUACACAGAUUAAGUUAACUAUCAGUCAGGUCACCAGCUGUGCACAGCAUAGCCUAUUCUGCAGGAAGAGGCUGCUGAAUUUAACAUAUAAAUAGAGAUAGUAAAUGUAAUGUCUUGAGGGCUGAGGAGCUGUCUUUUUCUGAGUAUCAAGUAACGGUUGACCUCCAUCAUUUUGUUGGCCAACCUCGGAGAACUAGUUUUUAAAUGAUAGUGGGUGUUUUUGUUUUCAGGAGAUGGUAAUACCUGGUUUUCAGGAGAGAGCUCCGACUCAUACCUGAUGCAUGUGAGACAUAGGUCUGUCCUGUGGAAAUCUAUCCAAUGUAACUGAAGGGCCUAGAUUAGAAGUAGUUAACACCAGGUUAUAUUUUAGCCUAUUUAAUAUUCAUUUCAGUUAAGAUUGAGCCCAAGGGAAGGUCCAGCAGCUGAGGACUUUGGCCAUAUGCUUUGUAGUAGUGGUUAGUUACUGAUUUAUAUAUUUUCAGACAGGUGGGGGUAUGAUACUACUGGACACACUUUAAUGUAAUUCUUCGCAACCAUGGUAUAUACAGAAUGGGACUUUCCUCCAAGUUAGUACCAGUUGUGCUGAUUAAUGUUGUCUACCUGUGUCUCUAUGCCACUGUUCCAUGUACUACAUCUCCUCAUUUAGGGCUGGACAAUUUAAGUUGUUGCCUAUUUAUUUUUCCACUUUAUAACACCUAUUCAGAGACCCAUACAAGGAUUUAAUCGGUGUUAACAUAUUGUCAUUAGCUCCUCUAAAAUCUGCCCCUCCACAGCUCUUGUUAGAGACAGUGUGUGAUAAUCCUACAGUUUUCUAGUUAUUUUAAAAUCAGCUCAUCUUUUAUCACAACUCAGGCUACACAUACUUCGGGUGUUUAAUUCAGGAGAGAGCAUGUCCUUUCUGUAGAGUAUUGUUUAGAUGAAUAUUUUAUUUUAUAUAACCCAAUUGUUUGCCCAAGGGGACACAGCCUAAAUUGUUUUAUAUAAAAUACUGUACUUCCUCAGAGAGAAGAUCUUUGAUACUUGACGUUAGUCUAGCAGACAAAUGCAUAAUGAGAUUCAGUGGCUGGAAGUUGGUUAGAAAAAUUCAGAUGGGAAAUAAGACGUACAUUUUUAACAGUAAGAUCAAUUGACUGUUGAAACAGAGUACAAAGGAUUGUAGUAAAUUCUCUACCACGUGGAAUUGUUAAACCAAAAUUGGAUAUCUUUCUGAAAGGUAUGGGAUGGUUCAAUUACUGGUAAUCAGGCUUGAUGCAGGAAUCAUUAGGUGACAUUCUAUGGCUUGUAUUAUGCAGAAAGUUACUCUAGAUGAUCAUAAUGGUCCCUUAAAAUGUAUGAAUUGCAUGUUGAUUAAAUCUGUAUGAUGUCUAAAUAAAACUACAUUUAUGAACUUGUCAGCCACAAUAGAACC